rnacentral:pre_miRNA from 1 species
AGGUUUUGUAUUUCGUUUUUUUACUUGAAUAUUGGAAGCAAGUAUGACGGAUUUGCAAGAUCUGU